rnacentral:tmRNA from 1 species
GGGGGCGUUCUUGGGAUUCGACGGGGAUAGUUCGAGCGUCAGUAGCGAGCCGAGGGGCUGCGUCUCUCGUUAAACACGCAGAUGCCAAAUGUAACUGGCAAACAAGAAAACUACGCUCUGGCUGCUUAAUUAACCAGCCAGGAUCCGCUUCUCCAUCGCCUAUGUGGAGCUGUCGGGUCUCAUCAUUUAGUAGGCUAGCGACCUAGGGCGCCACCCUCUGGGAAGCGAAACUUCGUGUGGCUGGCCUGCGAAAUCGCCUGUCACUGGGCAGUUUCAAAGGCGAGAUCUGAAUACAGUGACUGCGCUCGGAGAAGCUGGCGUGGCGAUGUCUUCGGACAGCGGUUCGACUCCGCUCGCCUCCACCA